rnacentral:lncRNA from 1 species
AUUGAGGGCCGGGCACAAUAAAGUCUUGAGGAGCCCCGAGAGGGCCGGGCACAGAGUACUUUUGUACUAUUGAUUGUAUAAUAAAGUCCUGAGGAGCUCAUUCGCGGGCCGGGCACUGAGGGAUUUUUGAUUCAGUCCGUUUGGUAUGUGAUUACUUGUGUUGUGAUGCAUUUCAUGUGAGCAUGUUUAUUAACAUGUUUUUAUUGUUCUACUCACUGGGCUAGUAUAGCUCACCCCUCUCCCUUAAACCCAGUCUUGCAGGAUCAGAGUACAGGGGGAGUCCAGCAGAGUACAGGAAGAGUAAAGAGUU